rnacentral:lncRNA from 10 species
UGCGGCUGCCGCAGUCAGCCGGGGACCUCGUCCGAGCCCACCCGCCUUUGGAGGCUCCAUCUCCAUUCUGGGUUCUGAUGAUGCCACUACUUGUCACAUUGUGGUCCUGAGGCACACAGGUAAUGGGGCCACCUGCUUGACACAUUGUGACGGAACCGACACCAAAGCUGAGGUCCCCUUGAUCAUGAACUCCAUAAAAUCCUUUUCUGACCACGCUCAAUGUGGAAGGUGAGAUCUACGCUGCUCUCAUAGGUGAAUUGAGAUCUUGGAACCGUCGCAUACAGGACGUGGCUGUGGAAGCUGUUAGGGGAACACAGGAUGCCACCACUGCCGUGUCUGCCUCGUUCCCCUGGAACAGAACCUGGCACGACGUGGGCACUGCGUCAGCAGUGGUUGAGUGAAUGAGUGGGUGCUGGGCACAGGCAAGGAGUCUGUGCUGGAUUUGAGAUGGAAG